GACGGGGGGGCAAGGUGUUCUUCGGAAUGACUGGGCGUAAAGGGCACGUAGGCGGUGAAUCGGGUUGAAAGUGAAAGUCGCCAAAAAAGUGGCGGAAUGCUCUCGAAACCAAUUCACUUGAGUGAGACAGAGGAGAGUGGAAGUUUCGUGUGUAGGGGUGAAAUCCGUAAAUAUACGAAGGAACGCCAAAAGCGAAGGCAGCUCUCUGGGGUCC
rnacentral:rRNA from 1 species